rnacentral:rRNA from 1 species
AGAGUUUGAUCCUGGCUCAGGACGAACGCUGGCGGCGUGCUUAAUACAUGCAAGUCGAACGAGGGCCCGGAGCUUGCUCCGGUGACCCGAGUGGCGGACGGGUGAGUAACACGUGACCAACCUACCUUCGGGAGGGGGACAACCUGGGGAAACCUGGGCUAAUACCGCAUAUCGUCCACGGGCCGCAUGGCCUGUGGAUAAAAGGGAGCCUCUGCUUGCAAGCUUUCACCCGAAGAGGGGGUCGCGGCGUAUCAGCUAGUUGGUGGGGUAACGGCCUACCAAGGCAUCGACGCGUAGCGGGUCUGAGAGGACGACCCGUCACAUUGGGACUGAGAUACGGCCCAGACUCCUACGGGAGGCAGCAGUAGGGAAUAUUGCGCAAUGGCCGAAAGGUUGACGCAGCGACGCCGCGUGUGGGAGGACGCCCUUCGGGGUGUAAACCACUGUCAGGGGGGAAGAACUUCGCAGGUGUUAAUAGCGCUUGCGGUUGACGGUACCCCCAGAGGAAGCGCCGGCUAACUCCGUGCCC